rnacentral:rRNA from 1 species
AUUGAACGCUGGCGGCAGGCCUAACACAUGCAAGUCGAGCGGAUGAAGGGAGCUUGCUCCUGGAUUCAGCGGCGGACGGGUGAGUAAUGCCUAGGAAUCUGCCUGGUAGUGGGGGAUAACGUCCGGAAACGGGCGCUAAUACCGCAUACGUCCUGAGGGAGAAAGUGGGGGAUCUUCGGACCUCACGCUAUCAGAUGAGCCUAUGUCGGAUUAGCUAGUUGGUGGGGUAAAGGCCUACCAAGGUGACGAUCCGUAACUGAUCUGAGAGGAUGAUCAGUCACACUGGAACUGAGACACGGUCCAGACUCCUACGGGAGGCAUCAGUGGGGAAUAUUGGACAAUGGGCGAAAGCCUGAUCCAGCCAUGCCGCGUGUGUGAAGAAGGUCUUCGGAUUGUAAAGCACUUUAAGUUGGGAGGAAGGGCAGUAAGUUAAUACCUUGCUGUUUUGACGUUACCAACAGAAUAAGCACCGGCUAACUUCGUG